UCUCUCUCUCUCUCUCUUCCCUUCGUUUCUUUCUGUGACGUGUGCCAAAACUUGUGACGCUUUUUAUCUGUUCUUCUCUUUCCUUUACAGAGAUGGCAACAAUAAUCCAGAAACAAGAACUUGAAGAAGACGAUGAGACUGGGAACGUUGAUCUCAGAAUCAGCGGCGCUGGAGAUGCACACCCGGACAAGGUAGACCCCACAGCGAAGGAGGUUGCUCUAAAGGAAGAGCCUGACUCGGAGGAUAGAUCACCUGCGCGUCUUGGUGUUAUGCCCGUCGCAGUCCAUGUGCCGACGGCGAUCAGGAUGCCGUUGGCGGCUGCUCCGCCCAAAAGAGCUUCCACGAAAGACCGACACACCAAAGUGGAGGGUCGGGGCAGAAGAAUCCGAAUGCCUGCAACAUGUGCUGCUAGGAUCUUCCAGCUGACCAGGGAGCUGGGUCAUAAAUCCGAUGGAGAGACCAUUAGGUGGUUACUUGAGCAUGCGGAGCCAGCAAUUAUAGCCACCACCGGAACCGGAACUGUUCCUGCUAUUGCCAUGUCAGUCAAUGGGACCCUCAAAAUCCCCACCACCUCUAGCACAAACUCAGAACCCAGCGACCCAUCCAUUAAAAAGAAGCGUAAAAGACCAGCUAAUAGCGAGUACAUUGACAUAAGUGACGCCGCCGUUUCAGUCUCCGCGCCUCUUGCCCCUAUAAUAACACAACCACAAACACCACCACCACCACCACAACCCCCUCAACAAGCAGCAACCGCAGUAGUUCCUCAGGGUUUAGUUCCCAUGUGGGCCAUACCGUCUAACGCCGUGGUUCCUGGCGCGUUCUUCAUGGUACCGCCCAUGGCGGCAUCCAUUGCGGGACCUCCGAACCAGCCCCAAAUAUUCACGUUCCCUGCUGCGGCUACGCCUCUAAUCAACAUAUCGGCGAGGCCGAUAUCGUCUUUCGUAUCGUCCAUGCAACAAGCUGCCAAUAUAGCAGUAGCUAUGCCGGUCUCGAGUUCUACUGUUUCUGGUUCAAAGCCUGCGAAAGCUACGUCAGUUAUGGCGCCAAGUUCAAGUUCUGCUCCCAUUAGUAGUACUACUACAACAAGUACCACUACCACGCAAAUGCUUAGAGACUUUUCCUUGGAGAUUUACGAUAAACAGGAGCUCCAGUUCAUGACUCGAUCUUCGAAACAUUGAAAACACGAAAAAGUAUUUUCGGUGGUUUUUUCUCCGUCUCUGGGCUCUUUUCGUUCACUGGUGACUUUUUUGGGGUAUACUUUUUGGUCUAUCCGCCAUUAACGAGAUCGUUUGAGCUCGAAAAUUGCCUUGGCUGAUGGGGGGAUUGUUCUGGUGCGGUGGGGGGAGCACGUGCACUCGUGAGGAUGGGCUCUAAUUGUGCACGUGUAAAGUGGGGUCACUAUUAGGCAAUUGGCUGGGGUGUUGGGUCCACCAUAUGUGGUGGGUCAACACUCAGCCUAAAAUGCAAAGGUAGACUCGGCUCCGUGGACCGUGCAGUGCAAAAAGAGUAGCAUUUUUUUUUUUUUAAAGAGUGGGGCAGCCGCAUGUGAUGGGGCGCGGGCCCCAAAGGAAGUGGGCCUUAUGGGACCGUUUGGACAUCGUUUACGAGGCGGCCGCGUGGUGGUCCCCAUUGGUUGGUUCGGUGGUCCGAUCCAGAGCAGAGCAGUGGGGAAGUAAUGCUUGAGGCAGAGAAGGAGAAGGGGACACGUAUCCUGUGUUUAUCUGUCGAUGUGGGGCCGACCCUUUUGUAUCUUGGAGGUAGGGUCUUUUUUUAUGUGGGCCUUGAUUUGCAAAAGGAAAACGGGUUGGUGAUGAGGAUGAUGAUGUUGGGCAUUGGAUGCUGCUGGCCUUUACUUGUCUUGGAAUAUUAGAGUUGGGUUACAACCAAAUGUAUAUGUAGCCUGUAACAUGUUAGCUCUCCUCUUUGACUCAGUUAUUAGUCAAUUGAAUUCCAACAUCUCAGUCUUUGAUGGUUUGUGAAGUCUAGUUUCAUCAAAUGGUGGGUCCUUGGUCCCACCACAACCACCCCCAGUUUCGCUCUUUAUUAUUAUUAUUAUUAU
rnacentral:misc_RNA from 1 species